UGGGGAAUAUUGCACAAUGGGGGAAACCCUGAUGCAGCGACGCCGCGUGGAGGAAGAAGGUCUUCGGAUUGUAAACUCCUGUCCCAGGGGACGAUAAUGACGGUACCCUGGGAGGAAGCACCGGCUAACUACGUGCCAGCAGCCGCGGUAAAACGUAGGGUGCAAGCGUUGUCCGGAAUUACUGGGUGUAAAGGGAGCGCAGGCGGAUUGGCAAGUUGGGAGUGAAAUCUAUGGGCUCAACCCAUAAAUUGCUUUCAAAACUGUCAGUCUUGAGUGGUGUAGAGGUAGGCGGAAUUCCCGGUGUAGCGGUGGAAUGCGUAGAUAUCGGGAGGAACACCAGUGGCGAAGGCGGCCUACUGGGCACUAACUGACGCUGAGGCUCGAAAGCAUGGGUAGCAAACAGGAUUAGAUACCCUGGUAGUCCAUGCCGUAAACGAUGAUUACUAGGUGUGGGAGGAUUGACCCCUUCCGUGCCGCAGUUAACACAAUAAGUAAUCCACCUGGGGAGUACGACCGCAAGGUUGAAACUCAAAGGAAUUGACGGGGGCCCGCACAAGCAGUGGAGUAUGUGGUUUAAUUCGAAGCAACGCGAAGAACCUUACCAGGUCUUGACAUCGGAUGCAUACCUAAGAGAUUAGGGAAGUCCUUCGGGACAUCCAGACAGGUGGUGCAUGGUUGUCGUCAGCUCGUGUCGUGAGAUGUUGGGUUAAGUCCCGCAACGAGCGCAACCCUUAUCGUUAGUUACUACGCAAGAGGACUCUAGCGAGACUGCCGUUGACAAAACGGAGGAAGGUGGGGAUGACGUCAAAUCAUCAUGCCCUUUAUGACCUGGGCUACACACGUACUACAAUGGCUAUUAACAGAGAGAAGCGAUACCGCGAGGUGGAGCAAACCUCACAAAAAUAGUCUCAGUUCGGAUCGCAGGCUGCAACCCGCCUGCGUGAAGCCGGAAUUGCUAGUAAUCGCGGAUCAGCAUGCCGCGGUGAAUACGUUCCC
rnacentral:rRNA from 2 species